rnacentral:rRNA from 1 species
UACGAAGGGGGCUAGCGUUGCUCGGAUUGACUGGGCGUAAAGGGCGCGUAGGCGGUUUGCAUAGUCAGAUGUGAAAUUCCCGGGCUUAACCUGGGGGCUGCAUUUGAUACGUGUUGUCUAGAGUGAGGAAGAGGGUUGUGGAAUUCCCAGUGUAGAGGUGAAAUUCGUAGAUAUUGGGAAGAACACCGGUGGCGAAGGCGGCAACCUGGUCCUUGACUGACGCUGAGGCGCGAAAGCGUGGGGAGCAAACAGG